UACGGAGGGUGCAAGCGUUAUCCGGAUUCACUGGGUUUAAAGGGUGCGUAGGUGGGCAGGUAAGUCCGUGGUGAAAUCUCUGAGCUUAACUCAGGAACUGCCGUGGAUACUAUUUGUCUUGAAUAUUGUGGAGGUGAGCGGAAUAUGUCAUGUAGCGGUGAAAUGCUUAGAUAUGACAUAGAACACCAAUUGCGAAGGCAGCUCACUACACAAUUAUUGACGCUGAGGCACGAAAGCGUGGGGAUCAAACAGG
rnacentral:rRNA from 1 species